rnacentral:rRNA from 1 species
AUUGAACGCUGGCGGCAGGCCUAACACAUGCAAGUCGAGCGGUAGCACAAGGAGCUUGCUCCUGGGUGACGAGCGGCGUACGGGUGAGUAAUGUCUGGGAAACUGCCCGAUGGAGGGGGAUAACUACUGGAAACGGUAGCUAAUACCGCAUAACGUCUUCGGACCAAAGUGGGGGACCUUCGGGCCUCACACCAUCGGAUGUGCCCAGAUGGGAUUAGCUAGUAGGUGAGGUAAUGGCUCACCUAGGCGACGAUCCCUAGCUGGUCUGAGAGGAUGACCAGCCACACUGGAACUGAGACACGGUCCAGACUCCUACGGGAGGCAGCAGUGGGGAAUAUUGCACAAUGGGCGCAAGCCUGAUGCAGCCAUGCCGCGUGUAUGAAGAAGGCCUUCGGGUUGUAAAGUACUUUCAGCGGGGAGGAAGGCGGUGAAGUUAAUAACUUCACCGAUUGACGUUACCCGCAGAAGAAGCACCGGCUAACUCCGUGCCAGCCGCCGCCGUAA